CCUCAUGAUAGUUAUAUUAAAUCCUCCCGACUCCCAGCCAGAUAUUUAUUAAAUUAUCUCUGCCUUCAGCUUUGUUUUACUAUAGCCUUGCCCAGUUUCCUUUCUCACGUAUACCCUCAACCACAACUUCAAUAGUCCGAGAUUUUUACUGGGCUCUCGCCUCUAGCUUCGAGUUUUAGAUCCAGGUGAGGGGAGGGAAUACGAAAAAAACCGACGAAUCAGAACAGAAACAAACGACGGUGACCGAUAGGGGUCUUAACUCACGGGACUGCGCUGCGCCCUCCCGAAGGGGUGCGCCUGCGCACUGUGCUGGUCUCCAUGGCGGGGCCUCGGAGCCAAGACGAGAAAUUGCAGCUGAGAAAUCACCUCUAAAGUUCUGAACAACUAGAAUUCCUGUUGAACAAAAUCAAAACAGAGCAGCAACCCAAAUAUUGUCCUCUACACAGAUAUGAGUGACCACAGCCUGAAUAGUCUCUUUCCCUGUGCCAUGCAUUCACUGUAUAAAAUAAACAAUAAAAAAGCCUUUUCUCCCUAUAAUAUCAAACUUCUAAAUUUUACGGUUUCUUUCUAAUCUUCGUGUUUGAUAUAAGAUAAAAUCUACUUGUGUAAUGUGAUAUGAAACAUUCUAGAAAGUGAAAUUUAAUACCUUAGUGUGUUUUCUGAAGUUCAGUCAUUAACUGUCUGGACCCCAUAUUUAAUACUUUAUUGUUUCUUUUUGCUCCCUUUAUCCAAUCUGAGUACUUCUUUCUUAAAAAAUAAGCUUGUCAAAUCAAUUCCAGGAUUUUUUUUUUUUUUUGAGGGGAAAGGAGGUGUUUAUUCUCUCCUUGUGGCUCCAAAACAUGCCCUAUUAUUAAAUACUUUCUUUGAGGAGAAAUACUCAGUUGCUGUGAAGGUCUUUGUUUCAGUGGUACUUAGAGAAUGUGAGAGUUGAAACAAAAGUCUAGUUCGAUUCCUAAUUUUAUAUAACGAAACAGGCACAGAGAGUCACUUAUGCCAGGAUGCAUGGACUUAUCUAUAGGCAGCCCUAGUCUUUAGUUCUCUUGAACUGAGCCUAGUGAUGGUUCUAGUAUACCUGACUAGUAAAUGGUUACUUAAUAAUGAAACCUGCAUAAUAAAAUCUGAUAAUUUUCUUUAUGUGUAGGAAAAUGUACAUUGAAUACUUUCUCAUUAUGGAGAAAAGGCUAUUGUGAAGACGUAAUUAUAGCUUUGACAUAAAUGAAACUACAGCUGUCACAAUUUAGUGCCCCCAAAAGGAAGAACUUCAGAGGACAAGAAAGGGCAUUUCUGGAGGUAGUAGAAUGCCUGAGGCCUGGAAUUUAAACUUGAACUACUGCCUGCAGCUAUUAACUAAUAGAAGAAAAUGGAAUUGAAUAUGUUGUCAGCAUGGAACAGUCUCAUGAUUCAUUAAGAAUCAAUCAUCACGAUGGCAAAGAGUCAAAAACAGGUGUUCAGGUAUUUGAGCAUCUAACCUGUGUAGACUCCAGGGAUCCUUCCUUUGGACAAAAUGGUUCUUCGACAGUUGUGCCCAUUACGACCCAUGAAGCAGAGAAUUCACUUUCAUCACAGAAGGUACCAGUGCCCAUGACCCAGACACAGCCUCCUUCUGCAGAGCAAUUCCAUCUAGUGGACCAAAAUGGGCAACCUCUGCAAUAUGAGCUUCAGUCAUUGGGGGAUUCUAGUGCACAAAUGAUGAUUGUAGGCAACCCAUCAGAAAAUGGACAGGUGCUUCAAGUAAUUCCAUCUACCCAGACAGAAAUGGCACCAGUGAUUGUACCUCAGGGACAGCUUGUGGAUGUGAAUAGUUCUCGGGAUGUCUCUGAAGAAAAAUCUGGUGACAGAAACUUAUCAACUGUAAGAGUGGAUGCUCUAGCAGAAAGUACCAGUAGCUACAUUCUUCAUCCACAGACAUCCUUGACACUGCCCAAAAAGACAGUGACUAGAAUACUUGAAGAACCCUUUAUGGCUCCUCUCCAGCCACUUUCUUCUAACACACCUAUAUGGGCCUGCCGUCUUAGGAGCUGUGAGAAAAUUGGAGAUUCAUACCGCGGCUACUGUGUUAGUGAGACUGAACUAGAAAGUGUCCUAACAUUUCACAAGCAGCAAACACAGAGUGUUUGGGGGACCCGCCAAUCUCCAAGCCCAGCCAAGCCUGCUACACGCUUGAUGUGGAAAUCCCAGUAUGUCCCGUAUGAUGGAAUCCCAUUUGUUAAUGCAGGGAGCAGGGCUGUGGUAAUGGAGUGUCAGUAUGGGCCAAGGAGAAAAGGUUCCCAGUUAAAAAAAAUCAGUGAGCAGGAAAGCAGGUCUUGUCAGCUCUACAAAGCCACUUGUCCAGCCCGGAUUUAUAUUAAAAAGGUACAGAAGUUUCCUGAAUACAGAGUUCCUACAGAUCCCAAAAUUGACAGAAAAAUCAUCAGAAUGGAGCAGGAGAAAGCCUUUAACAUGUUAAAGAAGAACUUGGUAGAUGCUGGUGGUGUUCUUAGGUGGUAUGUACAGUUACCGACGCAGCAGGCUCAUCAAUAUCAUGAACUAGAGACUCCCUGUCUUUCUUCUUCACCUUCCUCUUUUCCUAUAUCACCUCUCGAAGAAGAGGAAAAUGCAGUUAGAGAUGAGAAUUGUGCAUUGCCUUCACGUCUACAUCCUCAAGUAGCGUAUAAGAUUCGAGAAUUAGUAUCACAGGGAAUAGAACAAGUGUAUGCAGUAAGAAAACAGCUAAGAAAAUUUGUGGAAAGGGAACUGUUCAAACCUGAUGAGGUACCUGAAAGACAUAAUUUAUCUUUUUUUCCAACUGUAAAUGAUUUAAAAAAUCACAUCCAUGAGGUACAGAAAUCCUUGAGAAAUGGAGAUAUGGUAUAUAACUCAGAGAUUAUUCCAGCAACGCUUCAGUGGACUACAGAUAACGGGAAUAUUCUCAGAGAGACUGUGACAGUUACAUUUGCAGAAGGAAAUUCACCAGAAGAAUCAAUUAACACCAAAGUGGAAGCAAAUCAGACAAGGAGUUCUUUAUCUCCAGAGCCUGCACACUUGCUGUCCUCACUUUCCUCAUUUCAGCCCAAAAUGUUUGCACAGCUGCAGGGUUUGCAGUUACAAACAAGAUUCACCUCUCCUGAUGACUCACCGCCUCUGAUAUCAAUAAAUAACCACCUCUCCUCCAGUCCUUCAAGACUUCUGGAUUCAUUAGAAAGUGCUGUAAUGAAUAAUAAUUCUCUACUGCUUGAUCAAAGUCAUAGCUUUCAGACAGACACAUGCCUAACCCAAAACAAUAAUACUGCCUCUGCCAUGGGUAACCCUCCAGGACCAGAUCAGAAUCUAGUUACAAUGGAUCAGCUGGUAGAAGUUGGGAAUGUUGAGGAUACAGAAAAUCUGGAAGGAAGUGUUCCUCAGAUUCUGUUGGGAGAUGUGCAGACCAUUCCAAUACGGAUUGUAGAUAGCCAUCCCACUCUCAUUGAAGAAACUCCAGAAGAUACCAUUUCUGUGAGCCAAGUUAAGCAAGAACCCAAAGAACCAGUGUUGUCUGUGGAAGCAAAAAAAAAAUUGGCCUGCAAGAAAUUAUCUGCCACAUAAAUUAUUGAAGCUUUUCAGAAUUUCCAGCUCUGGUGACUUCUGAUGUCUUAGAAAAGAAGGUGAAUAUUGUCAAAAUAUUGCCAUUCUUCAGGACGGUGUGAUACAUGGAUUGAAGACUGAUUCAAUGGGCAGCUUUGAUUUAAAAUUGUUAUGUUUGUUGCCAAUUCUAUUGUUACCUUCCUUAAGAAACAUUUUGUUCUACUUAUUUUGCAUAAUUAUUAUGCUUUCUGAUUGUCUAACAAGGCCAGUAUUUCAAAAGAUAGUCCGAACUUAUUCUUGGUGAUGUAGUCUGAACACAAACAGUUAUCUAACUCAUCCCCUGGGAAUAUCCAAUUUUGGUGUUUAACACAAAAAUGAACAUCAGCAACAAACGUGUGUGAAUGUAUGUUUGUGUGUGUAUGCAUGUCAUGGUUUCAUGGUUUUUUUUUUUUUUUAAGUUAUAAAAGAACAUAUUCCCUCUUUAAAGUUGUGAAGAAAUUUUUAAUUGGCAGACAGGUGAGAGAAAAUUUGUAAUGCAUCUCAUUUGGAAAGAUAAAGCAAUAGAUGUUACAUCAUACCAUGAAGCCCAGCAAUCACACCUGUGGAAACUGUGUAGUUGCAUUUUAGCUUCUCCCUUCUACAUCGUAUACUUAUAACCAUGAGCCAAUAGCAUACUAAUGGUCAUCUAAUCAAAAUUUUAAAGUAUCUUGGAAGUACUGAGAAUUUUAACUUGAAUUAAUCAGAUAAACAACAGAAAUAAAUAUAUGCAGCAUGAAUUUACACUCUAUUUUAGUUAAAUACUACUUAGGAAUAGAAAGAUGUAACACUUGAGAAAAUGGAAUAAGAGUCCCCUGAAAUUUACAGAUAAUUUGGGAAACUUCUUGAUGAUGCCAGAGGGUUUAUUUGUUUUUUUUUUUUCUUAUUUUAUAUUGAAGAUUUAGUUCAGGUUAGGAAAGAAUUUCAAUUGUAUUUACAUUUUUCAGAGUUCUUACUGAAUUGAUACAUUUAAGACUUACAGUAUUUCAAGACAAGAAUUUAUAGUUUAAAAUUUUAGUUCAUGUUAUUUUUAAAACUUUAAAAUGACUGAUCUGUUGUAUUUGCUUGUUAAGUGAGGAUAUUUACUUUAAAUACUACGUAAGUACUAAUCAGUAAAUUCAUUAUAACCUCUCUUUUCUGGAAGGUUAGUAAACUAGAAGUGUCAACUGUAACUGUCAAGAGAUCAACCUAAAGACUUUUUCCCCCCAUGAAUCAUUGGUGGAUAUAUUUUAAAUUUUAUUUUUUAAAAAAAGGAAUUUCAAAUAUAUAUUAAUGUUUAAUGUUAAAGCAUGUGUAAUAUAAUAUGAAUUUAACCUUCAUACUUAAAAAUGAGUCACUUUUCACGUUUGUAAAUCCAGUCUCCCGUUCUUAAUUCACUUUAUUUCAGGUACAUGAAGUGUAUGUAAGUUUAAAACACUGAUACAUUAGAAAUGGGUUGUUGUUGUUAGGUGCUGUCCGGUCGAUUCCGACUCAUAGUGACCGUAUGUACAACAGAACAAAACACUGACCCAUCCUCGACAUCCUCACAGUCAGUGCUAUAUUUGAGCCCAUUGUUGCAGCCACUGUGUCAGUCCAUCUCAUUGAGGGUCUUCUUCUUUUUCAUUGACCCUCUACUUUACCAAGCAUGAUGUCCUUCUCCAGGGACUGAGCCCUCCUGAUAUCAUGUCCAUAGUACGUGAGAUGAAGUCUCACCAUUCUUGUUUCUAAGGAGCAUUCUGGCUGUAUUUCUUCCAAGUAGUGAGUAGAAUUCUAAAAUUCUUUGUUCUUCAGAUUUAUACCCUAUUUAGUAUAAAGUGUAUUAUUUAUACCUUAUUUAAUACAAACUAAUUUUUUAGUUCAUAUAUUUAAUAAGAAUUACUUUUCUUUUUUCUAAGGAUUGAAAAUAUUUGUUGUAGGCAUUUAUAAAGGCUGGCUGCCAAACCUGAUUAUGCUAUUCUAAGUUAAACACAUCUCUUAGUUACCUCAAGCUCAGAUUUCUCUUAGUCUACGUGUGCCUAAAAGGAGUAAGUCCACAUUAAUUUAUACCUUAGUGAUGCACUAUAGGUAAUAUUCUUUUCACUUUUUAUUUAUACUUUUUAUAAAAAACCUUUUCAAGAUUUAGAAUAAUAGAUCUUCACUUUUCAGUAAUGGCAGUGAUUUACUAUUAAAUAUUUCACCCAUUGAACUGUAUUCUUUGGAUACAUUCCUUUUCUGAUGUUGAGUUACUAAGGAGAAAUGCUUGUUAAGGUAUAAGCCCUAGUCAGGUAUCUGUGAUGAUGCGAGAUGUCAGAGGAUUCAAACUUUGACACUUGAUCAAGAAUAAAACAUAGUUAAAAAAUAUUUCUCUCGCUUCAUUCCCUGUAAACGUCUCUUCUGAUACUGUUUUUUUUUUAUCAUGAAAACAAAGUGACAAUGCAUUCUCCCUGCAAACAAACAAAAAAUAAAAAAGAGAACAAGAAGAAAGGUUUAAAUCCCUAAUUAUAUACUCUUUUGGUUUUUAGGUAGAAACUGGAGCUAUCAAUAUUUUCAUGAAGAAUACAUGGGUCCAGGAACUAUGGGUGGAAUCAGGAGUGGACCUAUUAACCGUCAUUCUCCAUGACACACUGAGGGAUUGUGUGCUUUCCAUCUCCUCAACUCUGGGCUCGUCAGGAUUGGAGGUCUUGAUCUCCAAAGGGAGGAUACUCUUCUGAAGGGUAAUAAAGUUUUUAUUGAACUACAAGCUAUGGGUGCUGCCAGUACACUUUGGAGUCCUUGCCUCUAGGGACCAACAGGCAAGAAGAGACAGUGUCAUGGAUUGAAUUGUGUCCCCCCAAAAUAUCUGUCAAAUUGGCUAGGUCAUGAUUCCCAGUAUUAUGUGAUUGUCCGCCAUUUUGUCAUCUGAUGUGGUUUUCCUGUGUGUUGUAAAUCCUGUCUUUAGAUGUUAAUGAGAUGGAAUUAGCAGCAGUUAUGUAGACUCAAUCUACAAGAUUAAUCUAUAGUUUAAGCCAAUUUGUUUUGAGAUAUGAAAGAGAGAACCAAGCACAGAGACAGGGGAGACCUCAUACCACUAAGAAACAAGAGUCAGGGGAAUAUUGCAUCCUUUGGACCCGGGGUCCUUGCACUGAGAAGCUCAUUGACCAGGGGAGAUUGAUGACAAGGACCUUCCCCCAGAGCUGACAGAGAACGCCUUCUCCUGGAGCUGGAGCCCUCAGUUCGGACUUCUAGCCUCCUAGACUGUGAGAGAAUAAGUUUCUUUUUGUUAAAGCUAUCCUCUUGUGCAGAAACCCUGGUGACGUAGUGGUUAAGUGCUGCGGACCAAAAGGUCAGCAGUUCGAAUCUGCCAGGUGCUCCUUGGAAACUCUAUGGGGCAGUUCUACUCUGUCUUAUGGGGUCACUAUGAGUCGGAAUCAACUUGACAGCACUGGGUUUGGUUUGGGUUUUUUUGGAUCCUCUUGUGCUAUUUCUGUUAUAGCAGCACUAGAAAACUGAGACAGCAUUGUAAUUGACUCUGAUCAGCAGGAGGGGGUAGGGCAGGGAAUACUACAUGUGGAACCCAGAUGAUCUGUUUGAGUGCUUUUUGGUACUCCUUUGCCCUUUUGUAACUGAAUGGAGAAGUAUAGCAAUGACAUCCUGAGAAUCAUAUUAUGACCAAGGGUUCAGAUGCCUCAGGAAUUAAGAAUUGGGUAACCCACCAAGACCUGAUAAGGUGAUAGUUAAGGAUGAGGGGAAUUUAGAAUGACUCAUGGAAGAGGGAGAGGUUGAGCACCAGUUGCAACCCUAAGGUCAACUGCAGUGUCAGAGGGUGUAUGUAGUUCAUCCCACUAACUUAAUCCUUGUAAGUUUUGCCUCAUGAAGAAAGAUCCCAGGAACCCUGGAGUGGCUGCACUCUUACCCAAGGGAAAAGGUAAAUCUGUUCAGCACAAGAAGUGAACUGCGGUAGCUAGGAAAAUGAGCUCUUUGCUACAGGUAGGGUAAAUGACAGAAAAGUACACAAUUUCUGUACUCUGAAUCUACCAUUGUGUUUGUGCUGAAGCUAUGCUUCCUACCAUCUCCAUGACUACUGACCAUAAUAUACCAUAUUUACAUUUAACAGUUUCAUGCAAGUGAGAGGAAUUCGAUUUCUAGGCUUGCUCAUGAAACUAUUUCAGAUCAGUCUGUCCAGAUAAUUAUGGGUUGUAAUGUAUAUAUAUAUAUAUAUAUAUAUGUAUAUACACACACACACACACACAUAUUUAUAUACAUAUAAUUUAUGUAUUUCCUCAGUGGUUCUCAACCAGGAUGAUUCUCCCAUCUCCCCCGACCCUUUCCCUAGGGAACAUUUGGCAGUUUCUGCAGACAUUCUUCAUGAUCACAACCGGGUAGUUCAUUUAAUGGACAGACACCAGGGAUGCUGUUAAACAUCUACAAUGCACAGGACAGCCCCCACAACAAAGAAUUAUCCAGCCCAAAAUGUCAAUAGAGUGAAAGUUAAGAAACGCUGAUACACACACACACACACACACGGACAUUAUAUACAUAUAAAUUCUAUAUAUACACAUUAAAAUUAAGCUACAUGUAAACAUUCAAAAUAUAUUAAAGUUCACUGAUAAUGAGUAUUUUGUUGUUAGAUCAAAAGUUUUUAAUAAACAUUUUAUUUUUAGAAUGUACAUUACUAUAGUGACUUUUUUGGAUUUGACUCUGACUUAGUUAUAAACAAAGUUUAUAAAUGGCAAUUGAAACUUACUUUACAAGUGUGUUGAGUUAAAAUUAGUCAACAAAUGUAGUUUGUAAAAUGUCAGUUGAUAUAGUAUGGGUAGAAUCUGAGUUAAAAUUAUUUGGCUGAAAAGGUAACAUUUUAGGUCUUAAAAAUAUAUUAUUGUAGGGUUAUGCACAUAAAAUCGUGUUAUGAUUUUCCAGUUGUACUUAUAAACUAAGCCUGGGAUUUGAGUUGAUUUUGAAUGAAUUCUCAGAAUUCUAUUUCCUUAACAAUUUUUCUGAUAUGUACCUGGCACAUACUAGGUGAUCAGUAAAUAUUUCUUAUUGAAAGGCUACAUUGUAAAUUACAAUUUGUAAAUACAGCUUGUGAUUAUACUGCUUAAAAUAUUCUCAUUAGUUUAAUCAUUUAAGAACAUUAAAUGUUUGUACUGUAUUUGAAAGAAGAAAAUUGACACUAAACAGCCAGGCUUUUGAAGCUAAGAAUCAGAAUCAUUUAGCAAAUCAAAAAGUAGUUAAAAACUUAAUGAAUUCACAAGGAGGUAGAAAGCAUUUGAGAGGAGAUUUGUGUUAGCCAAUUUCUCUAGAAGUGAAAAACAUGUAACAAGUAGAAUGUAGUGUAAUAGUAAGAAAAUACUUGCACAGAAUUAAUGUGGUUUGGAGAAGGUUUUCAGGGAAUGUCUUGGAAUAGCAGCAGUAACCCAUACAUUGGCUGUAUAUGAAAGUAUUAUGAUAUCAUCCAUUUAUUGGAGGCAAGAUCUUUAAAAGAGAUUUCAAAGAUAGAUUAGGGAUGACUCCAAAAUAGUAUUUUUUUGGGAGUGGGGGCGGUUAACACGAGUUUCUUCCCAACUUGGAAGGAGGUGUCAAGAUAAGAAGUCUAUCUGUUUCCAGAGAACCCCUGAGGGAGCAGGAGAGCAGUUGGGUGCGAACCCCAAAUUCUCAUAAAGAGACCAGACUUAAUAGUCUGACUGAGACUAGAAUGACCCCAGAGGUCAUGGCCCCCAGACCUUCUGUUAGCCCAAGAUAGGAACCACUCCCAAAGCCAACUCUUCAAACAGGGAUUGGAGUGGACUGUGGGAUAGACAAUGAUACUGGUGAAGAAUGGGCUUUUGGGAUGAAGUAGACACAUGAGACUAUGUUGGCAUCUCCUGUCUGAAGGGGAGUUGAGAGGGUAGAGGGGGUCAGAAGCUGGCCGAAUGGACACGAAAAGAGAGAGUGGAGGGAAGGAGUGUGCUGUCUCAUUAGGGGGAGUAUAUAGCAAGGUGUUUAUAAAUUUUUGUACGAGAGCCUGACUUGAUUUGUAAACUUUCACUUAAAGCACGAUAAAAAAAAAAAAAAAAAAGGAUCUGUUUUCU